CACGAAGGGGGCUAGCGUUGCUCGGAAUGACUGGGCGUAAAGGGCGCGUAGGCGGUUUGUACAGUCAGGUGUGAAAUUCCCGGGCUCAACCUGGGGGCGGCACUUGAGACGUAGGAACUGGAGUGAGGAAGAGGGUCGUGGAAUUCCCAGUGUAGAGGUGAAAUUCGUAGAUAUUCGGAAGAACACCAGUGGCGAAGGCGGCUCACUGGCCCGAUACUGACGCUGAGGUGCGAAAGCGUGGGGAGCAAACAGG
rnacentral:rRNA from 1 species